rnacentral:rRNA from 1 species
GGCGCACGGGUGAGUAACACGUAUCCAACCUGCCGUCUACUCUUGGCCAGCCUUCUGAAAGGAAGAUUAAUCCAGGAUGGCAUCAUGAGUUCACAUGUCCGCAUGAUUAAAGGUAUUUUCCGGUAGACGAUGGGGAUGCGUUCCAUUAGAUAGUAGGCGGGGUAACGGCCCACCUAGUCAACGAUGGAUAGGGGUUCUGAGAGGAAGGUCCCCCACAUUGGAACUGAGACACGGUCCAAACUCCUACGGGAGGCAGCAGUGAGGAAUAUUGGUCAAUGGGCGAUGGCCUGAACCAGCCAAGUAGCGUGAAGGAUGACUGCCCUAUGGGUUGUAAACUUCUUUUAUAAAGGAAUAAAGUCGGGUAUGCAUACCCGUUUGCAUGUACUUUAUGAAUAAGGAUCGGCUAACUCCGUGCCAGCAGCCGCGGUAAUACGGAGGAUCCGAGCGUUAUCCGGAUUUAUUGGGUUUAAAGGGAGCGUAGAUGGAUGUUUAAGUCAGUUGUG